rnacentral:rRNA from 1 species
GACGAACGCUGGCGGCGUGCCUAAUACAUGCAAGUUGAGCGCUGAAGGUUGGUACUUGUACCGACUGGAUGAGCAGCGAACGGGUGAGUAACGCGUGGGGAAUCUGCCUUUGAGCGGGGGACAACAUUUGGAAACGAAUGCUAAUACCGCAUAAAAACUUUAAACACAAGUUUUAAGUUUGAAAGAUGCAAUUGCAUCACUCAAAGAUGAUCCCGCGUUGUAUUAGCUAGUUGGUGAGGUAAAGGCUCACCAAGGCGAUGAUACAUAGCCGACCUGAGAGGGUGAUCGGCCACAUUGGGACUGAGACACGGCCCAAACUCCUACGGGAGGCAGCAGUAGGGAAUCUUCGGCAAUGGACGAAAGUCUGACCGAGCAACGCCGCGUGAGUGAAGAAGGUUUUCGGAUCGUAAAACUCUGUUGGUAGAGAAGAACGUUGGUGAGAGUGGAAAGCUCAUCAAGUGACGGUAACUACCCAGAAAGGGACGGCUAACUACGUGCCAGCAGCCGCGGUAAUACGUAGGUCCCGAGCGUUGUCCGGAUUUAUUGGGCGUAAAGCGAGCGCAGGUGGUUUAUUAAGUCUGGUGUAAAAGGCAGUGGCUCAACCAUUGUAU